UGGGGAAUAUUGCACAAUGGGGGAAACCCUGAUGCAGCGACGCCGCGUGAGCGAUGAAGGCUUUCGAGUCGUAAAGCUCUGUCCUAUGGGAAGAUAAUGACGGUACCAUAGAAGAAAGCCCCGGCUAAUUACGUGCCAGCAGCCGCGGUAAUACGUAAGGGGCGAGCGUUGUCCGGAAUUAUUGGGCGUAAAGAGUGCGUAGGCGGCAAAUUAAGUCAGAUGUGAAAACUAAGGGCUCAACCCAUAGAUUGCAUCUGAAACUGAUAUGCUUGAGUCAAGGAGAGGAAAGUGGAAUUCCUAGUGUAGCGGUGGAAUGCGUAGAUAUUAGGAGGAACACCGGUGGCGAAGGCGACUUUCUGGACUUGAACUGACGCUGAGGCACGAAAGCGUGGGGAGCAAACAGG
rnacentral:rRNA from 1 species